rnacentral:rRNA from 1 species
AUGUCUGCUGCAUCUGGCUAUGUUGCUGUCCCUCGCUGUCCGAUGAUUUUCGAUGGUACUAACUACAUCGAGUUCACUGGCUUUAUGCGCAUUCACAUGCGUGGCAUCCGUCUCUGGGGUGUUCUUUCUGGCGAGGUCUGCUGUCCGCCACGUCCGGUUCCUCUGGUGGCCCCUACUCCGCCGACUCCACUGGUUCUUGCUCCGGAUGCUAAUCAGGCCGCCAAGGAUGCGGCUAAGCUUGCUGAUGAGGCUGCUGAUCGUGCUUAUGAUGAGAAGAUUUUGGCUUAUGAGGAGGCUCUUCAGAUUUAUCAUGGUGCUCUGUCUGCUUACACCCAGUGGCUUGAUGAUGAUGCUCGUGCUGCAGCUGUUCUCACUGCUAGUGUUCUGCCUCAGUUUGCUUCUGAGUUUCUGGGUCUUCCUACUGUCUUUGAGAUGUGGACCCGUCUUUGUCAGCGCUAUCAGCCCUCUGGUGAUGCCUUAUACCUUUUUGUGGUCCGUCAGGAGCAUGCUCUUCAGCAGGGUGACUUUACUGUUGAUGACUUCUAUGCACAGAGUUCUGCUAUCUGGCGCCAGCUUGAUUCUCUCCGCAGUGCUGGUUGUCGUACCUGCCCCUGUUGCCAGGCUGUCCAGGCCAAUUUGGAGUUUCAUCGCGUCUAUGAGUUCCUGUCUCGGCUUCGUAAGGAGUUUGAGCCCCGGCAUGCUCAGUUGUUUGCUUGUGGCUGUAUUUCUCUCAUGGAGGCGCUUUCUGAGAUUCGUGCUGAGGAGACUCGCUUACGUGGUGCUGGUUUGCUGGAGGUUCCCUCUGUGCUCGCUACUCGGGCUCCUACGCCACCUACUGCACCGACCCCUUCUCGCUCGAGUGCACCGCCGCUCUUGCCCACUCCUUCUGGAGGCUCAGGUCGCCCCCAUCCACAUUGCGACUACUGCAACAAUGAUGGUCAUCUUGAGUCUCAGUGCUACACGAAGAAGAAACACCUGCGCAAGGCGCGAUCAUCAUCUUCAGGGACUUCGUCAUCCACCUCGACAGCUUCAGCCAUUGCUUUGACUGAGUAG